rnacentral:rRNA from 1 species
GUUCCUUGGAAAAGGACAGCUGAGAGGGUGAGACUCCCGUCCGCCUGGUGGAGUGAGUCAUUUGUCAACGAGUCGAGUUGUUUGGGAUUGCAGCUCUAAUUUGGUGGUAAAUUCCAUCUAAAGCUAAAUAUUGGUGGGAGACCGAUAGCGUACAAGUACCGUGAGGGAAAGAUGCAAAGAACUUUGAAAAGAGAGUUAAAGAGUACCUGAAACUGCUGAAACGGAAGCGAAGGAAACCAGUGUUUGUUGGUUCAUAUUUCCCCGGCCACUUGUGGCUUGGGCGCUGUGAGCUUUCGUGGGUUUGCUUUGGUUGAUCCCUUUGGAAGAGCGCAGUCAGAGUUGAUGUCU